GACGAACGCUGGCGGCGUGCUUAACACAUGCAAGUCGAACGGAAAGGCCUCUUUCGGGGGGUACUCGAGUGGCGAACGGGUGAGUAACACGUGAGUAACCUGCCCUUGACUUUGGGAUAACUUCAGGAAACUGGGGCUAAUACCGGAUAGGAGCUCCUGCUGCAUGGUGGGGGUUGGAAAGUUUCGGCGGUUGGGGAUGGACUCGCGGCUUAUCAGCUUGUUGGUGGGGUAGUGGCUUACCAAGGCUUUGACGGGUAGCCGGCCUGAGAGGGUGACCGGCAACAUGGGGACUGAGAGCGGGCCAAGACUCCUGGGGGGGGAGGGAGGGGGGAAUAUUGAAAAAGGGGUGGAGGCUGGAGCCAGCAACGCCGGGGGGGGGAGGAGGGCUUGGGGUUUGUAACCCGUUUCCGCUCAGGAAGAAGUUUUGUGGGAGGGGGGUGGAUAAAGAAGCCCCGGCAAACUACGGG
rnacentral:rRNA from 1 species